GUCAGCUCUUCACUUUUUCACAGUACCUCAUAAUCCUGAAACAAUACGGCUGGAUGCUUAGGGAUCUGACUCCUACAUGGGAGAGGGGGAUCAUUGGGAUUGUAUCCCAUGCUAUACGUUGGCUGAUGCCCAUCUGGAGAAUCUGCUAUCUGGUACUUCUAGGCUGAGUGUGAUGGCUCAUGCCUGUAAUGCCAACACUUGGGAGGCUGAGGCGGGCAGAUACCUAAGGUCGGGAGUUCGAGACCAGCUUGACCAACAUGGAGAAACCCCAUGUCUACUAAAAAUACAAAAUUAGGCGUGGUGGCGCAUGCCUGUAAUUCCAGCUACUAGGGAGGCUGACGCAGGAGGAUCACUAGAACCUGGGAGGUGGAGGUUGCAGUGAGCUAAGAUCGUGCCAUUGCACUCCAGCCUGGGCAACAAGAGUGAAACUCCAUCUCAAAAAAAAAAAGAGACCACCUAGCAGGGUGUUUUGACCUCUUGCUGUGUGCCAGGCAAAUGCUGUUUCUCUAGGCCUCCAGCCCUGGAGGGAAGAAUGGACAUCACCUUUGGGCGCUCUUCCACUACGUACUUGCUCUAAACACUCUGCAUUCAGGUCCUGUGACAUCAGCUUCUUCCUUAUGUCUUAACAGUGUGAAGGAUGUUACUUGCAUUAUACAGUCAACACUGCACCACAUCCCUCCUGUGACCCUCACUUCAGCCACUAGAGGAAAUCUUAGGUUCAGAGAAGUUAGAUGGCUUAGCCAACAUCACAUGCCUGUUACCGAGUGAAGCUACAAUUCAGAGCCCAGCUUUGCCUGAUGCUAAAGUCUGUGCUCUUAGAUACUGGCCUGGUACUUGAGAAGUUAGGAAAGAACCCAGCUGCUUUAUUUUGCUUUCAAAUUUUUUUCUUUCC
rnacentral:lncRNA from 10 species